rnacentral:lncRNA from 10 species
UAUCCACAGUCUUGGGAAAUGGCUCAUCUCUGUCACUCCCAGAGGGCCAGUCUCUGCGCCUGGUCUGUGCAGUUGAUGCAGUUGACAGCAAUCCCCCUGCCAGGCUGAGCCUGAGCUGGAGAGGCCUGACCCUGUGCCCCUCACAGCCCUCAAACCCGGGGGUGCUGGAGCUGCCUUGGGUGCACCUGAGGGAUGCAGCUGAAUUCACCUGCAGAGCUCAGAACCCUCUCGGCUCUCAGCAGGUCUACCUGAACGUCUCCCUGCAGAGCAAAGCCACAUCAGGAGUGACUCAGGGGGUGGUCGGGGGAGCUGGAGCCACAGCCCUGGUCUUCCUGUCCUUCUGCGUCAUCUUCGUUGUAGUGAGGUCCUGCAGGAAGAAAUCGGCAAGGCCAGCAGCGGGCGUGGGAGAUACGGGCAUAGAGGAUGCAAACGCUGUCAGGGGUUCAGCCUCUCAGAAGACAUCAUCGUCCAGUUCCUCUGCAUUUGAACAGCUGUUCCCCCACCCCUCAAUACCGUUUAGAGCAGAAGCCAGCAAAUACUAUCUGUCAGGGACAGAUAGAAACUAUUUUCGGCUUCAUGGGCCACACAGUCUCAUUGCAGCUCCUCAAAUCUGC